rnacentral:lncRNA from 1 species
GACUCUAAGGGAAUGAACGGUGCAGCUGCCAGAUGAAAGGAUCCAAGCACUUGAAUCACAAGAUGAAGGAAAACCACCCGCUUGCCAACCAGGACCACUGGAUUGGCCUAGAAUCUGAAGGGCAUCUGGUGGAGGACUCCAAGUCCUGAGGAAAUGGGGAAGCUACCAGGUCUGGUGGAUCCUAGGUGCCUGAAGAAUGGCACAACUCCUUGCUGACCCACAUCAAACAUAAUGAGAUGAUGGAUGCUAAGUGAACUUAUUGAGGUAAUCAUUUCACAAUACAUGUCUCAGCUGGAACACACAGGAAAUAUUCCUGGCAGUAUUGAACAACAUCACGGACACAAAAGGGUCCCCAAAGAGGGUGCAAAAGAUACUACCCUCCCAAGAUCCAGAGCCACUCCCAAAGAUAACCAAAAGAAAGAAGACUUAGACCUAAGUCCCCUGAGAGCUGGAAAUGUUGGUAGGAUCCUAGCUGCAAAUGCAGUGCAACCUACAUUUCUGUCCAGCCAUAUUUUGGGGGCCCCCAAUCUGACGAUUGCCAAGCCAAGUUCUCAAGACACAAAAUGAAGCCAACAAAAAGGCAAUAGCUGUCCCUGAGAGAGAAAGGAUCCAUAACCAAUGUUUUUUCUGCCAAUCUGAAUUUGGAAAUGAAGGGACAAUGUGAAAUUUUACCCUCCUCUGUCUGCCAGAUACCACAGAUAGAGAGCUGACUUUGGUAAAAUUCUGACCCUUUGCUGGUUUCUGCCAGCUUUCCCCGGAUGCUGUAUGCAGGCUCUGUGGAGUGAGUGGGCAUCCCAGUGGGUCUCAUCCUGGCCACCAGAAACUGUAGAGGAGGAAUAAUUUUCCCUCUACCCUUUAUAGGGCAUCCCUAGCUGAGACUCCUUUUUCUCCAGGGGACUUCGUAAAUGGAUACGUUUAUCUAAGAAGGUUAGAAGUUCUUCACUCUGGCCACUGUAAUUCAAGAUUCACUUUCAAAAGUUAAACCUAGUCAUUCACGCUUCAAACAAAAUUUUAUUCACCUGAGGCUUCGCACUGGCGGCUUCGCAGUGGACCAGUUUAAGUCAGACCCCGUCCAUCUCGGAAC